AUACGGAGGAUGCGAGCGUUAUCCGGAUUUAUUGGGUCUAAAGGGAGCGUAGGCGGGAGCUUAAGUCAGCGGUUAAAUGGUGCGGCUCAACCGUGCCCUGCCGUUGAAACUGGGUUUCUUGAGAGUGCAAGAGGCGGAUGGAAUUCAUGGUGUAGCGGUGAAAUGCUUAGAUAUCAUGAAGAACUCCGAUUGCGAAGGCAGUCCGCUGGGGCACGUCUGACGCUGAUGCUCGAAGGUGCGGGAAUCAAACAGGAUUAGAUACCCUGGUAGUCCGCACGGUAAACGAUGAUUACCCGCUGUCGGCGGUAGACAGUCGGCGGCCAAGCGAAAGCGAUAAGUAAUCCACCUGGGGAGUACGCCGGCAACGGUGAAACUCAAAUGAAUUGGCGGGG
rnacentral:rRNA from 1 species